rnacentral:rRNA from 1 species
AGAGUUUGAUCCUGGCUCAGAUUGAACGCUGGCGGCAUGCCUUACACAUGCAAGUCGAACGGCAGCGCGGGGCAACCUGGCGGCGAGUGGCGAACGGGUGAGUAAUAUAUCGGAACGUGCCCUGGAGUGGGGGAUAACGCAGCGAAAGUUGCGCUAAUACCGCAUACGAUCUAAGGAUGAAAGCAGGGGACCGCAAGGCCUUGUGCUCCUGGAGCGGCCGAUAUCUGAUUAGCUAGUUGGUGGGGUAAAGGCCUACCAAGGCAUCGAUCAGUAGCUGGUCUGAGAGGACGACCAGCCACACUGGAACUGAGACACGGUCCAGACUCCUACGGGAGGCAGCAGUGGGGAAUUUUGGACAAUGGGCGAAAGCCUGAUCCAGCAAUGCCGCGUGAGUGAAGAAGGCCUUCGGGUUGUAAAGCUC